GUAUCAUGGCUCAGGAUGAACGCUAGCGGCAGGCUUAACACAUGUAAGUCGAGGGGCAGCAUAAUGGUAGCAAUACUAUUGAUGGCGACCGGCGGACGGGUGCGUAACGCGUAUGCAACCUACCCUUUACAGGGGGAUAACACUGAGAAAUCGGUACUAAUACCCCAUAAUAUUCUGGUAGGCAUCUUUCGGAGUUGAAAGCUUUGGUGGUAAAGGAUGGGCAUGCGUUGUAUUAGCUAGUUGGUAAA
rnacentral:rRNA from 1 species